GGAGUUGGUUUUCUCCUCCCACUUUUAUGUGAGUUCCAGGAUUUGAACUCAGGUGUUCAGGCUUACAUUGCAAACACUUUACCUACUGAGUCAGUUUUUCAAUUUUAAAAAAGAAAAAAGCAUCUCACUUUGUAGCACAAGCUGUCUGCAAAUGUUCUGUGUAGCUCAGGCUGACCCCAAACUUGACACAAAGAACAAGCAGGCUGUGAAUUUGUGGUUACCCACCAAACCCAGAUUAGUUUAAUUGACUCUGAUUGCUGUUCUCCUUUGAUGCUCAAACAUUGUAACCAAUAUUAAUUUUCAUUAACAUGUAAUCAAUAUUAAUUUCCAUUAACAUGUAUUUGCUCAGCUGAGAACUUAGUGGGGGCUCUAUAUUGUCAACAGUAAAAAAGUUUGCACUAGAGAAGAUCCAAAAAGGCUGAAUACAUACAUGUAAGCAAAUCUCAAGUUAAGGGGGAAGAUGAGAAGGGAGCAGUAUUCCAGCCUAAGGGGAUUCAAUGUAGAAAGUUCUAGAAGUUAGAACACUUGUGCUAAACAAAUCCACUAUACUCUAAGGAGGCUGGGAGAUAAUGUCAAAAGAUCUCUUAGAUGUUAGGUCACAGAAUCUGGCAAAUUUCAAUGAAGUGAGGGUAAUAAACCAUUUAGGAUGAAAUGGUAGAAUGACUUUUAAUGCGUCCAUUUGGCUGGCCUGAACUGUUUCCCAGAAUUCACUUUUUGCUUAGGGUUGGUUGUGAGAGAUUUCUUAUGAGUGAUAUGAAAGAUGUUAUUGAAUCUUAAUGUGAGUCAGUGGGUGAGCCUGCAACUGUUUCUUCCUGAGUCUUGAAUUGUUCCAUGACAUUGACUAAGCCCAGCUAGCCCCUGCCCAUACCAUCAAAAUGAAACACAGGAACUUGUGAAUGUUUCAGUUCCUCCUUCUAUUUGUGGGUUCUGGCUGGCUAUUGGAACAUUACAGUUGUCUUCCGGAAGUUUCCCGCACCUGCUCUGUUUCAGACUCCAUCACCAGAAGGCAGGCAGUAGUCACAGCAGCAGCACUUCGGAAGAUACUUAACAGUUCUCGAAGUUGUGUAAUGUCUGAGCCAUAUAAGAAGUGCUCACCUCUGUGGUUUUGUUUCUCCAGCUGAAACUUGACUGAUACAAGAGGAAAGGAUGUUAUAGGAGUGCCAUUAUCACAGUUUAUUUUAGAAAUCUCACUGGCUGUCGAGAUAGGAGCUGACCCCAGGAAAGCUUGAGUCCCUUAAGGGAAUAGAGCCCGAAGGGUAUUGGAAAGGGUCCAUGCUGUAUGGUCCAAGAUGGUCUUAAUCUCCAGGUACCAGGCUUACAGACAUGCACUUCAGAGACCAGUUUAGGAAUCUGGAAGUUCAAUGGACUGGUGACAGAACAGGAGCUCAAAGGGGUCUUAUGGACGUCAAGGAGCAAAUUCUUGACCCCAGGAACAUACCAGCCUCCUGAAGAGCAAGCUUGAGCCUCCCCACCAAGAGUUGUCUUACACUUACCGGGCAGAGCAGAGCCCUUCAGGAGCUGGAUGAAGGAACUGAAGAACUUCACUGAGUAUCAUCUGUGUUUACUUAGUAAAGAGCACGAUAUGACUAUUUUGUUUUUGUAGAUACUAAUGGUUAAAUUAGAAUUUGUCAGCCAUCUUAGCGGAAUCCCAGCCCCCACAUUAAAGGGAUCCAUUGAUAGUGGUAUUGAUUUCUCCAGGUUUUGUAUGCGUCUUUAUUUAAAUAAAAAAAAUCAUCAUAAAACUAUAA